rnacentral:lncRNA from 1 species
AUAUGUUGCUUCCGCUGGCCCAACGUUAGUCACUGUGCGCCGAAGCAUGACAUGGUCCUUGAGGUCCGGCAUGACAAUUGACGGGAGGUUGAGAUUGAGGUAGUAGGACUCACAACCAUCUAAAUAUCCAAGAGUGCAGUUCAAAAACUUGUUGUACUCCCUUGCAUCCACGUCAUAAACCAAGCCAGGGUCAACAGCUCUAUCUGGGUCUAUGUGUCCACCACCAAAGUCGAAGGGGUCAGCUAGUUUCCUUGGGACCGCUUCUGCUUGGAUUGGCAUGCCAAAACGAUCAGUCACAGAUGCUGCAACCAAGACAAGAAACAAUCAAAUCAGUUUUAUAUUUUGACGGAUUGUUUUCAUGUAUUUUUUGUAUUUCAAUGUUCACACCUGUGGUGACGAUGGCAGACUUGAUCAUGGCAGGUGACCAGCCAGGGUGAACCGACUUGAGCAGUGCGGUCACAGCGGAGACAUGCGGGCACGCCAUGGAUGUCCCGGAUUUGAACACGUAGGAGUCGCGGUCCGCUGCCAAGAUGCUGACGCCAGGUGCAGCAAUGUCGGGCUGUUCAAACAUGUGUAUUGAGAAUUAGUUAAGAAGUCGUAAGUUAAGAAAAAUUAGGAAGGCUAGGUAACAAACAAGACAAUGGCAACAAUUGUCUCAAGUUAAGAAACUGAGAAUGAUAUAUACCUUGAGUAUGCUAGGGAACAACAUGCUUGGACCUCUCGACGAGAAUGAGGCGACCCUCGGCGACAACACCCCUUUUCCGACAACGGUCAUGGCAGGUGACACCUUCACCACCGCAUUCCUAGCAUGACACGUGACUGGCAUGAGUUUCCGGAGAAGAAGAAAACGCAUUCAAGUCUGUUUCAGACAACACGACAUGCACUCACCCUUUGUCCCAACUCCAAUAGGAGGCAAUUCGUUGUGCGAUCUCAAAAUCCACCACUACACAGGGCAUAACGCCCCUACACAAAGGCAGGAAGUCGAGGAGGUUAGUAGUGUACUGUGCAAAUAUGAGGCCCUUGGCGCCAGCCAUGGUGGUGAGAUUGAUGGUUAUGGGAAGUGCUUGUCGAGGCGGCAUGCUUCUCGCCGCCACGGGUUGAUAGCAUAGGACGAUUUUACCGGUGACGUUGCUCAAUGCCAGUGACGACUCCGUGUCACAGCUGCGCAGAAGUUGUAAUUCAUAUAGUUGAUAAAACACUGAAUCGUGGUUACAAAAGUGGACAACUACAACAAAUGCGUCAAGUGAUUACAGAUGCAUAACUACAGAAGUUUUAUUUCAUUACCUCCCGGCAUAAACAAGGUCUUUAAAGUUGCCGCUGAUCACAGAUGCAUUGUUGUGAAGAGAUUGCCCCUGUAUUUCGAAUCAAGCACACAUUAAUAAGUAAUUAAAGGAAUCAGGGAAAGCUGGCUUCAGGGACGAGCUAAAUGUACUUUUUGUUUGUUUCCACGCUCUGAGACGAAUCAAGUUAAUUUGUCAAAAACUAUAAAACCAAUUUUAUAGCCCCGGAUCUAUCAUUUCCUCAGACCAAAUAAAUACUUGGAGAAUGUUUGUUUGUAGCAUGCACGUACCACAAGCUUUUCUUUGUUUCCGAGCGAUAUCAAGGUCGGGAAAGACCGGUCAAUCGUGCUAGCGGCCACCGUUGUAACCCACGGUUGGGCAUUAGCCACCGUUUGUGGCACAGGGCCAUCAUUCCCUCCGGCGAACACGAUAGAGAUCCCUCUUUGCACAGCAUGCAGCGUCCCAGGAAACUCGUGACCAGCCCCAGCAAUCGAGAGCGACAAGACGUCCACACCAUCAUGCAUAGCAUCAUCGAUAGCCGCGAGGACCGCUGCUUCAGGGCAACUCCCACCCAACCAACACACCUUGUAGAUACUGAGGCGCGCACGUGGCGCCCCGCCGCGUGCCACGCCCAUGCCUAGGCCUCCGUAGCUCACGCCCUGCACUUCCCUGCCAGCGAUGGUCGACGCGACGUGUGUGCCAUGGCCUUCAAUGUCCCUAGGCGACUUAUAGUUUCUGUUUAGCACCUCGUCACUGAUUCCACGCCCAUACCACCGCGCACCGAUGAUCUUUUUGUUGCAACUUGUGGCGUUGAAAUCCUGACCAGUCUGGCAUUUCCCUUUCCACCGUGCCGGCACAGGGCCAUACCCAUUGUCAUCAAAGCUUCGUGAUUCAGGCCAUAUGCCUAUAAAUAAGCAUGGGAAUCAAUUGAUUCGGUAUCGGAAUUUCUCAUAUUCAGGAUUUAAGCUUGAGGGGUCGGACUGCAAACCUGUAUCGAUCACACCCACGAUGACAUCUUCACCAUACUUUGCUUUUCUGAGUAGGCCCGGUUGUUGUCUUGGUUGGUUAUGGUCAAGGCCAAGAAAGUCCCAGCUCCGAGUUGUGUGCGUUUCGUGAUAAGUGUUAGGCUUCACAGUGACAACUUCUGGGAAUUCUACAUCAAAAAUAUGUUGAUUAGUUCUUGUCGGUCAUCCAAGUAGAUACGAUGAUAGGUAGGAGCCUAUAGGACUGACAAUCACUUACUUGCGAUUGUCUCAACCUGAGACUCGGUGAGCAUCGCCGCAAAACCAGAAAAUCCAUGCUUGUAACUGUAAACUAUCGACCUCAAGGCUUCAUCCUUGCUGUUGUCAAGUAAAAUGAGGGUGAGCAAAUCACGACUAAUACGUCGACGAUGCAACAUGAACUCACAUGAACUCCUGAUUGUUUUUGUUUUGAACAAAAUGAAUUGGUAGCUAGUUACAGUACCUCCCAAAAACAGAGGUUAGCAUGUCACGGUGAGACGCGGUGACCAUGGAUGGGUCAUCAUGCUUCUUCUCCCCCAUAUACACGAUGUAGAGCUGAAAUUCAUUUUGUCGCAUAAGUUCUCAACAAAAAACAGAUAUCAGGAAAGAAAGCAAAUUGAGAGAGGACUCGGGUGUGUAUCUUACUUUACUCGACGCGUUAGCUGAAACAGGCAGCAGUAUUACCAGCAGUAGGAGAGCGCCGCAGAAUGCUGUUCUGGAAUCCAUAUCUUGCUUGGAGAAGAGUGCUAUGUUGUUGUGUUUGUGUUCCCUCGUUCGGUUUGUAUGUCUAUAUAGCAGCCAGGAGCAAUAAGGAUGGGGUGCAAGAACAGUUCAAACCAAUUUGUUUGAGUGUCUUUUUUCUCAUUUCAGAGGGAAUGUUUCAGUGUUGUUAGUUAGGUGACAGCGACACACACGCGUGAGGAGCAAAGACUAAUCCUUUUGUCUAUAUAGGAAUCCCCGUGCUUUUUGUAAUGAGGAAGAAGCACCAUGCUUUGAUCAGGUCCUGGCGGCUAUUAGUACCAAACCGGAUAUAGAUCUUAAUUAAUUAUAUGCUCUCUCGUGCAAUGACCUGGUCGACUUUCAAACAAGCUUCCACGGCUUUGCACAUGGGUCUUAAUCGUUCCACAUGCGUCUUAAUCGUUCUACAAACGCGGGCGGCGGUAUAGGUAAUACGUAACAAAGUUGACAAACGUGACACAUUCAAAUAUUCCAUGGGCACGUCAAGGAUAUAGACCCGCCAACUUUCGUAUAAUCGCAUGUACUCAAAGAUGUAACUUUGCCUGUUUUCAAAUAAAGUUCCAAGAGACUUUUUCUUCGAAAAAUAAAUUUACAAGGGCAAAGACUGGUUUUGCUGAUCCGUUUCUCCAGCUAUUACAUUAUAUAAAUCCAGUAAUUCGAGCCGACAUAGUGUGAUGUGGUCGCCUCUCUAAGCUCGUCUCAUGGUUUUCAAUUCUUUCACUGAGAAAGCCAACUAACAAGUAUUUAAAGAGAACACACAUUUAUGGAAAACAUAGGCCCGAGAAUGGAUAUUGGGACGUUACAUAGACAUCAUCAAUCAUAUCAUAGUGCACAUAACAAAGCAUGUAAAACCAAGCUCAUGUUCUCCUACUUUUGUAGGCAUGUAUUAGUAUGUAGUUGAACUUGCUUAUUUAUAAGAACAAGAGCUUGCCCGGCAUCUAUAGUCCUACCCUCCCAUGUCACGGUGAUCAUAGUUUAAACAAAGGGUAAUUAAGGCGUCAUUUUGUGAGACAACCGUACCAACACAUUAACACUUCGUGAAUACAUGGAAACAUCAAAUCACAACACUCCCCAUUGAUAUCCCGGUCACCCUCGGGGUCACUUUUGAGGCUAUAAUAGGUACAUAUCACACUUGCAAGUACAAUCCAGACACAUUGGCAUCAUGAAAACUUAUAUGGUUAAUAUAUGAUACCACAUUACUUGGGCCCUAUUAGUAGACAUUAAGCAUAACAAAGUUGUAUCAAAACCCUAUAAUCUUAGCACUACUAUAUGAUUGGCAUCGUCAAAUUCCCAUCCACCUGCCUACAACAGAUUACUUGCAUAUGGAUGGAAGAAACAUGAUGGAGAUGAGAGGAAAAGAGUUGAUGGCGGUGGAACUCCCUCUUAGUGUGCAGAAUCAACCUCUCGACAACCCUCCUAGACGAGGAUUAGCGAUGGUGUCGACCGUCAAGUGUCAGGAUAAUAUGGCAUAAAUUUCGUGGAACUUAGAACGCCAAGAGAAAUUGAUAGCCGGAAGGUGAUCAUGGGAGACAACCUUUGGAUCCCCACGCGGGUGGCUCACACAACCUCCUCCAUAGCCAGCGUGAGGAGUGGGGCAUUAAGGUCAAUGAUACUCAAAUCGGAAGAGACAUACCGAGGACGAGGUAAGGGUGGGGGAUAAUCCAUCAUUACAAAAGGAAUGUGAAACCGAAUUUUAUUAAACUAAUUUUCAUGUGUAUUAGAUUAUUUUUUUCACCCGCCAAAGAAUCCUAUCUGGAGCAAUAGAAUUAAAAUGGACAUGGGCGCUCAGAACAAUUAAUUGACAAACGCAAAAAUAAGGAUCUUGAAGUUUGGACCCAAGGACAACAAGGCAUAAAAAUUUUGAUAUCACAAAGGAAAUCGUGCAAACUACAAUGUAAAUCUAAAUUAACUUCAAUGUACUAACACGAGCAUUUUGGACAUUAGCAGCCAUUCAUGAAUUCGGUGAUUUUGGCCCAGCUAAGAAAAUUUGAUCGUGUUUAUUUCUUUUCACUUCCAGAUUAGAAACGUUUUCAUCCAGAAAGAAAGGUUCCGGAGAUUUGAUCCAUCGUUCUCCCUUAGUCUAUUUCAUGUCGAUAUGAUCCGUGGUUUUCUCAUUAAUUCAUUUUUCGUAAAAGUUUGUGAAUAAACCUCUCCUUAGCAAAGAAUCGUAUUUUAUUCCAGUAUAACAUUUCCUUUGAUGAUGUACAAAAUUAAAGUGUUUCUUCUACAUUUUCUUAUGCCAACCACACGAAUACAUAAAUUAUGUGUAUAAUACAAAGAAUAUGAGCUUAAGAUGUAUCUGCAACAAAGUCUUGUAUCACAGUCCGUACCGCAAUAGGAAUUCUCACUGAGUGGGUACUUCCGUCUGACCAUGUCAAGCUCCCGAAAGUGUAUCCUCCUUGUACUCUCUGCCUUGUUGUGAAUGUCACCAUAAACGUCACACUUUUACUAGUGCUUUGGGUGAAAUUGAUCACAGAUGGCUCUACGGACACGUCUAUCCCCGCUGGAGCUUCAACCACUAAAUGAUAUGUUGCUUCCGCUGGCCCAAUGUUAGUCACGGUGCGCCGAAGCAUGACACGGUCCUUGAGGUCUGGCACGGCAAUUGACGGGAGGUUGAGAUUGAGGUAGUAGGACUCACAGCCGCCUAAAUAUCCAAGGGUGCAGUUGAAAAACUUGUUGUACUCCCUUGCAUCAACGUCGUAAACCAAGCCAGGGUCAACGGCUCUAUUUGGGUCAAUGUGUCCACCACCAAAGUCGAAGGGGUCGGCUAGUUUCCUUGGGACUGCUUCUGCUUGGAUUGGCAUGCCAAAACGAUCGGUCACAUAUGCUUCAACCAAUGCCAAGGAAUCAUCAAGUUAGUCAUAUAUUCAAAUGAGUUAUUUUGACGUAUUUUGGUUAUUACUUUCCUACCUGUGGUGACGAUGGCCGAUUUGAUCAUGGCAGGUGACCACUGAGGGUGAACCGACUUGAGCAUCGCAGUCACUGCGGAGACAUGUGGGCACGCCAUUGAUGUCCCAGAAUAGAACACGUAGGAGCCGCGCACCGCUGCCAAUAUGUUGACGCCAGGAGCAGUAAUGUCGGGCUGUCAAAACAUUAAUUUUUAUCAUGAAUUAGGUAUGUAAGUCUUUAAUUCUGAAAAACUAGAGAGGCUAGAUAGCAAACAAACAGUGACAAAAAUUCAACUAUUUGCCUUAAGUUGAUAAUGAUAUACACCUUCAGUAUGCCAGGGAACAAUAGGCUUGGAUCUCUGGAGGAGAACGAGGCGACCCUCGGCGACAACACCCCAUUUCCAACAACACUUACAGCUGGAGACACCAUCACCACUGGAUUCCUAGACACAUGACAAACAUGAAUUAGUUCUUGUAUAAGGAGAUGGCAAACUGAGUGUUCAAAUAUUUUCACACUGCAGUUUCCAACAAUUCGACAAAUUCUCACUCAGUCAUGUCCCAGUAGGAGAAAAUUCGAUGUGCGAUCUCGAAAUCCACCAGAGCGCAAGGCAUAAAUCCCUCGCACCCGACCAGGCUGUCAAGAUUGUUGGCGGUGUAUUGUGCGAAGAUGAGGCCCUUUGCACCGGCCUCAAUAGUGUAAUUGAUGGCAUAAGGGAGUAUUAACUGGGGCGACCACCGCGAUGCCUCUUCUGGUGCAUAACAAAGGACGGUUUUGCCCUUGACAUUGCCCAAGGCCAGUGAUUCCGGGUCGCAGCUGCUCAAAAGUAUUAAAAUUGAACAUGGUUUUGUCCUAAAGCGCGGCAUUUACUAUUAAUCAAAUGUCGUCAAGAGACUGGUUUCUUUCAUUACCUCCCAGCAAAAACAAGGGCCUGAGAGCCGCUGUUAUUCAUAGCUGCAUUGUAAUUUAGAGAUUGCCCCUGCGUUUGAAAUUGAUCACAAAUUAAAGAACAAGCUAACUGAGGAAAGCUACAAGAUACGAUAUAGUUGGUGGAGAACCAGCAAUGAUUUAAGUAAAGCUUCAAGGAGGAGCAAACCAUUUAUUUUCCCCGGGUUGGUUUGAACGUCACUUUCGUGCUCAGAGAGUCAAAAGGUUAUUAUUUAGUAAAAUUGUAGGAAAAAAAUCCAGAUUGACCAAUCCUCCACAUUCAUGCUAUCUUAUAUGAACUAUUUCAGGAUUGGAGCACGUCUUAUCCAAUAACAUUUUUCACCUGUUUUUUUAUCCAUUAUUAAUAUUUUCCAUGGGGUUUUUCAAUCCCUUGAGAAGGGCAAGGUAAUACUUCCCUGUAAUAUUUCUUAAGAGAUGGAAAAUAUAAGAAAUAAUUUACAUACUUUUUUAAAACAAAGGAGUGAAAUUGUUUGGUACGUACCAUCAGCUUUUCUUUGUUCCCAAGCAAUAUUAGGGUCGGAAAAGACCGGUCAAUCGUGCUAGCGGCCACCGUCGUAACCCAUGGCACGGCAUUCGUCACUUUCUGUGGCACACGGCCAUCAUUCCCUCCGGCAAACACGACGGAGAUCCCUCUUUGCACAGCAUGCAACGUCCCAGAGUACACCUGACCAACCCCUCCAACAGAGAGCGACAAGACGUCAACCCCAUCAUGUAUGGCGUCAUCGAUGGCAGCAAGGACCGCCGCGUCAGGGCAACCCUCAUCCACCCAGCACACCUUGUAGAUACCAAGUCGUCAAUGUGGUGCUCCGCCACGUGCCACGCCCAUGCCUAGGCCUCCAUAGCUCACGCCCUGCACUUCCCCACCGGCGAUAGUUGAGGCGACGUGUGUGCCAUGGCCAUUGAGGUCCCUAGGUGACUUGUAGUCGAUCUUUAGUGACUCGGCACUGAUGCCACGGCCAUACCACCGCGCACCGAUGAUCUUUCUGUUGCAACCAGUGGCGUUGAACUUCUCGCCACUCUGGCAUUUUCCUUUCCACCGUGCCGGCACGGGGCCAUAGCCGUUGUCAUCAAAGCUUCGUGAUUCAGGCCAUAUGCCUAUAAAGAAGCAUUUACAUCCAUGGGGUUAAUUGAUUCCUGGUCUUGGGAUUUCUCAUGUUUUGGGUUUAAACUUAAGGAUGGGAUUACGAACCUGUAUCGAUCACACCCAUAAUGACAUCUUCACCAUACUUUGCUCUUUUGAGGAGCCCCGGUUGUUGUGGCGGUUGAUUAUAGUCAAGGCCAAGGAAAUCCCAGCUCCGAGUUGUGUGCGUUUUGUGAAAAAUAUUAGGCUUCACAGAGACAACUUCAGGAAAUUCUACAUUCAUAUAUGUUGAUUAGUUCAUUUCGAUCAUGCAAGUUGAUAUAAAGAUAGCAAGCUCAUGGCACCUCAGGACUGACAAUUAAUAAUCAUACUCCAAACAAAUAUGGUUGUGUAAAUUGCAAUGAUGAUGCAGAGGCCGGGGGGUUAACCCCGUCUUAUAAAAAAAGGGUUGACAAUUACUUACUUGCGAUUGCCACAGCUUGAGAUUUUGUUAGCAUAGCCGCGAACCCAGAAAAUCCAUGCUUGUAACUGUAAACUAUCGGCCUCACGGCUUCAUCCUUGCUGUUUCAAGUAAUAAUAAAACAAAAGGGAGGUGAGCAAAUCACGACUGUUUCCUGCUAACACAUCUAUGAUGCGACAUGAAACUCAUAGCCAGUAGUACCUCCCAAAAACAGAUAUUAGCAUGUCAUGGUGCGACGCGAUGACCACGGACGGCUCAUCAUGUUUCUUCUCCCCCAUAUACACAAUGUAGAGCUGAAACUUCAACAAGAAAAUGUUCUCAGUAAAAGAUUGGAAAGAAGAUAAGAUAAAUGCUGUGCGAAGAGGAAUCGAGCAUGGAUCUUACUUUGCUCGGCGCGCUGGCUGAAAGAGGCAGCAGCGUCACCAGCAGUAGCAGAGCGCCGCAGAAUGCUGUUCUGGAAUCCAUAUCUGGCUUCGAGAAGAGUGUUCCCUCGAUCGCUUCUCCCUGUGUGUAUAUAUAGCAGCCAGGAACAAGAACAAGCAUGGAGGCACAAGAACAAGCAUGGAGGCACAAGAACAGUUCAGACGAAUUUGUCUGCGAGCUGUUUCCUUCCCUUUUAAGGGAUUGUUUGUGUUGCUACUUGCUAGGUGACACACACGUCCGAACGGAAGACCAUAUAUAGAUCCUUGUCUGUAUACAAAGCACCGUGCCUUUUCCAUCAGAGAAGAAGCACCGUGCUUUGAUCAGGUCCGCCAGGAUUAAACAGCUAACCGGAUAUAAAUAUUCUGGUGUCUGACGUAAUGAUCUUUUUUUUCGAAAAGGGGAUUCCCCGGCCUCUGCAUCAGAACGAUGCAUACGGCCAUGUUAAUAACCAAAUAAAGAAGUACCAACAUGAUUUCAAAGGUCUCCAAAAGUAAAAAAAAGUACAUAAAGCUCACACAGAGCCAAAUAAAGGCUAGAAACACCAACUAGCCAGGACAAGAUGCCACAACCGGCCGGCUCAAACUAGAUAGGGAAACUAAGUACCUAUCCUAUUACAUGACCGCCAUCCAAACCGGUUGAAGAUAUCCCGAGCUACCAUCUCCCAGCGGAAAGAUCCAGUAACCAAAUGCUCACUGGCCUCCGUCUGGGUGAGUAGCGACCACGAACGGAUCAGUGCCGUAGUUCGGAAUAUGACCUCCAAAAAAUGUAUACAUGAUAUUCUGUUAAAGAUCAAAUUAUUUCUGCAAGUCCAGAUAGUCCACAGCAAAGCACAAACUCCAACCCGAAUAUGUCUCGCUAAACCAGGCUCAAUCCCAUUAAGCCAAGUCCCAAAUAACGCAUUAACAGAAUUCGGUGGAUUGAUAUUAAAAGCAAUGUGGACUGUCUGCCAAAGUACCUUGGCCAACGGGCAAUCAAAAAAGAGGUGUUUGAUAGUCUCAUCCCGAUCGCAGAAACUACACCUAGUAGGUCUUGUUCAAUUACGCUUUUAUCAAGUUGUCCUUAGUUAAAAUAACUUGUUUAUGGACAAACCACAUAAACACUUUUAUUUUCAAAGGAACUUUGACAUCCCAAACAUGCUUAGACGUAGAAAUGGAAUUUGAAUUAAUAACAUCAAUAUACAUUGAUUUAACCGUGAAUACUCCAGACUUAGUCAAUUUCCAACGCAAUUCAUCGGGUUGUUGGGAAAGCUGGACGUCCGUCAGUCUCCUAACUAGACGGAGCCAUUCUUCCCAACGGUUUCCCGCUGGCGUUCAUCGGAACUGGAUAUUAAGGGGGGUAGACUGAAAGACCGAUGCGAUGAAUACCUCACGUCGUUGAACAAUGCGGUACAAAGACGGAUAUUGGAUGGCCAGGGGUGUCCCGCCAAGCCAAGUAUCCUCCCAGAAACGUGUACUCGAGCCGUUUCCAAUCACAAACUUCGUCCUAUUAAAUAAGGCCUGUUUGACUUUCAUCAGGCCUUUUCAGAAAGGCGAAUCGGUCAGCCUGACUGUAACCUGGGACAGAGUUUUUGUCUGGAGGUACUUGCUGCGAAGGAUUUGAGCCCACAUAGCAUCAGUCUCCAAUGAGAGCUUCCACAGCCACUUGCUAAGAAGGCAUUUAUUCUUAACUUCUAGAUUCUCAAUACCUAGACCCCCUUGGUCUUUUGGUCUACAGAUGAUGUCCCAUUUAGCAAGCCGAUAUUUUCUUUUAAGCUCAUCACCCUGCCAAAAGAAACGCGAUCGAUAGAAGUCCAGUCUCUUCCUAACACCAACUGGGACCUCAAAGAACGAUGGGAGAAACAUUGACAUGCUCGUGAGCACUGAAUUAAUCAGGAUUAAUCGGCCUCCGUCUGAUAUGAGCUUACCCUUCCAGCAGCUCAGUUUCUUCUCAAAUCGGUCCUCAAUGCACUUCCACUCUCUGUUUGUCAACCUACGAUGGUGGAUUGGAAUCCCCAAGUAGGAGAAGGGUAACUCUCCCAACUCGCACCCAAACAAUUGCCUAUAAGUAUCCUGUUCAUGUUUGGCCCUACCAAAACAGAACAGCUCGCUCUUAUGAAAGUUAAUCUUUAACCCGGUCAAUUGUUCGAAAAGGCAUAACACAAGCUUCAUAUUACUAGCCUUGGCCAAGUCAUGCUCCAUGAAGAUGAUUGUAUCAUCAGCGUACUGAAGGAUGGAUACACCUCCAUCAAUAAGAUGAGGUACCAAUCCACCUACUUGACCAUUUUCCUUAGCCCUUCCUAUCAAGAUUGCUAAGAUAUCCACCACAAUGUUAAACAAGAUAGGGGACAUCGGAUCUCCUUGUCUGAGGCCUUUAUGUGUCUGGAAGUAAUGACCUAUGUCAUCAUUAACUUUAAUUCCCACACUAUCUUUUUGCGUAAAUGAUUCAACCUGUCGGCGCCAGGCCUCAUCAAAACCUUUCAUACACAAUGACUGUUGGAGGAAUGGCCAUUUGACCUUAUCGUACGCUUUCUCAAAAUCCACCUUAAAAAUUACACCAUCUAAUUUUUUGGAAUGGAUUUCAUGGAGUGUUUCAUGCAGGACGACCACCCCUUCAAGGAUAUUUCUGUCCGGCAGGAAAGCAGUUUGGGACUGUUGCACCACAGAAUGCGCAAUCUGUGUGAGUCUGUUAGUCCCGACUGAAGGAAAUAUGCCCUAGAGGCAAUAAUAAAGAUAUUAUUUAUUUCCUUAUAUCAUGAUAAAUGUUUAUUAUUCAUGCUAGAAUUGUAUUAACCGGAAACAUAAUACAUGUGUGAAUACAUAGACAAACAAAGUGUCACUAGUAUGCCUCUACUUGACUAGCUCGUUAAUCAAAGAUGGUUAUGUUUCCUAACCAUGGACAAAGAGUUGUCAUUUGAUUAACGGGAUCACAUCAUUAGUUGAACGAUCUGAUUGACAUGACCCAUUCCACUAGCUUAGCACCCGAUCGUUUAGUAUGUUGAUAUUGCUUUCUUCAUGACUUAUACAUGUUCCUAUGACUAUGAGAUUAUGUAACUCCCAUGUGCCGGAGGAACACUUUGUGUGCUACCAAACGUCACAACGUAACUGGGUGAUUAUAAAGGUGCUCUACAGGUGUCUCCAAAGAUACAUGUUGGGUUGACGUAUUUCGAGAUUAGGAUUUGUCACUCCGAUCGUCGGAGAGGUAUCUCUGGGCCCUCUCGGUAAAGGUACAUGAGUUAGUUGCGGGAUGAUGCAUUAAGGAACGAGUAAAGAGACUUGCCGAUAAAGAGAUUGAAGUAGGUAUUGGAUACCGACAAUUGAAUCUCGGGCAAGUAACAUACCGAUGACAAAGGGAACAACGUAUGUUGUUAUGCGGUCUGACCAAUAAAGAUCUUCGUAGAAUAUGUAGGAGACAAUAUGGGCAUCCAGGUCCCGUUGUUGGUUAUUGACCGGAGACGUGUCUCGGUCAUGUCUACAUUGUUCUCGAACCGUAGGGUCUGCACGCUUAAAGUUACGAUGACAGUUUCAUUAUGAGUUUAUGUAUUUUGAUGUACCGAAGGUUGUUCGGAGUCCCGGAUGUGAACACGGACAUGACGAGGAGUCUCGAAAUGGUCGAGACAUAAAGAUUGAUAUAUUCGGACACGGGAAGUGUUCCGGGGAAGUUUCGGAUAAAACCGGAGAACCGGGGGGUUACCGGAACCCCCCGGGGGGUUAAUGGGCCUCAUGGGCCUAAAGUGGAGAAGAGGAAAGGCAGCCAGGGCAGGCCGUGCGCCCCCUCUCCCCCUAGUCCGAAUUGGACAAGGAGGGAGGGGCGGCGCCCCCCUUUCCUUCCUCUCCUCUCUCCCUUCCUUCCCCCUCUCCUACUUGGACAAGGAAAGGGAGGGGAGUCCUACUCCCAGUAGGAGUAGGACUCCUCCUGCGCGCCUCCUACUAGGGCCGGCCGCACCCCCCCCCUUGGCUCCUUUAUAUACGGGGGCAAGGGGGCACCCUAGGACACAGAAGUUGAUCUUCGUGAUCGUUACUUAGCCGUGUGUGGUGCCCCCCUCCACGAUAUUACACCUCGAUCAUAUUGUAGCGGUGCUUAGGCGAAGCCCUACGACGGUUAAACAUCAAGAUAGUCACCACGCCGUCGUGCUGACGAAACUCCUCCACCGAAGCUUUGCUGGAUCGGAGCCCCGGGUGCGUCAUCGAGCUGUACGUGUGUCAAGAACUCGGAGGUGCCGGAGUAACGGUGCUUGGAUCGGUUGGACCGGGAAGACGUACGACUACUUCCUCUACGUUGCGUCAACGCUUCCGCGUCGAUCUACAAGGGUACGUAGAUCACACUCUCCCCUCUCGUUGCUAUGCAUCACCAUUAUCUUGCGUGUGCGUAGGAAUUUUUUUUAAAUUACUACGUUACCCAACACCGACCUUGGUGAAAAUUUUGAAACUAACAUUGAGGAGACAUAUCGGCCUGAAUUGCUCAAUUCUCACAGCAUCCGUCUUUUUAGGAAGCAGUGUGAUAGUCCCAAAAUUCAAGUGAAAUAAUUGAAGCUGUCCGGAAAACAGAUCAUGGAACAUAGGUGGUAAAUCCCCCUUAAUAAUGUGCCAGCACUUUUUAUAGAACUCUGCCGGGAAUCCAUCCGGUCCGGGAGCCUUGUUGUUUUUCAUCUGUGCAAUAGCAUCAAAAACCUCCUUCUCCGAAAACGGGGCAACCAGAAUAUCAUUAUCAGCAGCUGAUAGCUGAGGUACGUUCUCAGUCCUGGACUCAUCGGGGGACACACAAUUAUCCUCCGGAGGUCCAAAUAACUGCUUAUAAUAGUCGGUAAUAUAUGUUUUUAGGUUAUCCUGACCUAAAAUAGUGCCCUCGUCUUGCUCAAGCUGAAAGAUACGCUUCUUUCUGUGCUUGCCAUUAGCUAUCAAAUGGAAGAACUGAGUGUUCGCAUCCCCUUGGACCACUUUGCGGACUUUGGCACGCAAAGCCCACUUCAAUUCUUCUUCGCGAAACAGUUCUUUCAGCCUCUUCUCCGCCUCAUUUUUAGCCUGAAGCUGAGCUGGCGACAAGAUAUUGACUUCGGCCUAUAUGUCCAGGGCCUGUAUAAGAGUAAGGAGUCUAUCCUUUUCAAUCUUAUACACACCACUGAGGUUCUUAGCCCAACCCCGUAAGAAACUUCUUAAAUGCCUAAUCUUAUUAUGCCAACACUCUAUCUCAUUCUUGCCUCCUACACCUCUAUCCCAUUCCCUGGCGAUCAAGUCCAAGAACCCCUCACGUUCAAACCAAGACAUCUCGAAGGAGAAGGUAUUCUUGUUACCCUCAUGGUUCGGCUCCCCUGAGUCCACGAACAAUGGGGUGUGAUCAGAUAUUCCCCUCGAAAGAGCUUGCACCGUAACCAGAGGGAACUUUUGUUCCCACUCCACGCUCGCAAGUACUCGAUCAAGUUUUUCAUAGGUUGGGUUUGGUAGAGCAUUAGCCCAGGUGAACUUUCUCCCAGAAAGCUCUAUCUCUCUCAGAUCCAAGAUUUCAAUAAUGGUGUUGAACAUAAACGACCAUCUGCCGUCAAAGUUAUCAUUGUUCUUCUCCUCUCUCCUCCUGAUGAUAUUGAAAUCACCUCCAACUAAAAUUGGAAGCUGUUCUGACCCACAGAUUCGAACAAGGUACGCCAGAAACUCCGCUUUAAGUUCAGGCUGUGCGUCACCAUAAACCGCCACCAAAGCCUAGUUAAAACCAUCUACCCUAGACCUGACUCGAAACUUGACCACGAAGUCUCCCAUCACGACACUUCGGACUUCAAGCGAAUCGCAUCUCACACCUAGUAAGAUACCACCUGAUCUUCCUCGCGGAGGGAGGCAAUGCCAAUCGAAAUCAAUACCACCAACAAGAGAAGAGAGAAACUGGGGCGCAAAGUUUUCUCUACCCGUCUCCGAUAGAGCAACAAAAUCUAACCUCUGCUCUAGAGCUGCCUCAGCUAGGAAUCUUCUUUUAGCCAAGUCCUUCAGACCUCUGCUAUUCCAAAAAAUUCCUCUCAUAGUUCAUCAUGGAAUUUUUUAGUAACUCGAAUCCUAGCACUCCUAUGAACUACGGAAUCUGGAUAGAUCUUCCGUUUCCACUUACGCUUAGGUUUACUAGGCUCAGUCACCCGGUCCUCAUAACCGGGUUCACAUAUAUUGCUAGCCUCAUUCUCUAGGGGUACAUCAUCUUCCUCAGAGUCAUGAUUGGGGGGUGCUAGAUCCGCACACAGAUUAUCGAGCACUCUAACCCCUAACGCAUCAAUCUCAUCAUCAUUCAUGACGUAAUGACCUGAUCAUCGUCUUUCAAACAAUUUUCCGCGAUAAGUUGGGCAUGAAACAGGAUGGGCCGCUUUGAUGCCAGGACAAUCAUUUUAGGUUUUUUAGGCUUAUGCCCUUGGUUGGUUCCCACUACUCUUAGAUUUCGGACCUACACAGUUUUACCCUUGUUUCAAUAUAAAACCAUUUUUUUAUUUUCGAUUUGAACUCAAUUUCAUCAAUUCUGAAGUUGCUACCCACAUGUGUGAUGUGGUCUGUUAGACCAUUGCUUAGGGCAUCUCCAAUGCAGACUCCUACUCCGGCCUCAAAUGUCUGGACCGGAUGGUUCAGACACUUUAGGCCUCCAAUGUGGACUCCUACUUUGGGCCGGACACGUCCAAAAUCACUCAGUCCGUCCACAAAUCGAGAGGCAGGGUUGGGGAGUCUAGGCGUCAUCAUGCCCCAUUACUACAUCUUAACCCAGCAACCACCUCCUUGACCCCUCCUUUUUUUCCAGACGUCCCCCCUCCCCCUCCACUCUUUGUCCCCGUUCCUGGAGCCCAACGCCAACGCCACCACCCCCACCCCAACCCCCAUGCCACCUGGGCCUUGUCGUUGCAAUCAUUCGAGCAGAAGGAAUCGCUCCAUAAGGCCAUAAAUCACCUAAGUUGCAGUUGUCUUCCUCGCCUCCGGUCUAGCAUCGCCAUGGUUAGGUCCCAGCGCCCCUCUGUCCAUCUUAGCAAUCCCCAGGAGGUUCCAAAGACGGUGCUGCAAAAUAAUGUAUACAAACUAUAUAACUUGGCUACGAACAAUAGGCCAUCCCUCCAUUUGUCUCCUAUAAGCAGUUCCAACAAUGUAUUAAUGGUGACAGCAGGGUUACAAAUUUGUAAUUCCUCUCGAAUAGCCUCCUACAUCCGAUCGCUGGAGCGAAGGAAUGUUCAUGGGCUUAUUCUAUUCAGCCUCAGCACUUCUGAAGAGUGGCAACACCAACGAGCAUAAGCUAAACUAUAUGUAGCUCAUAACUUCAGGUAGUAGUUGAUAGCAAAAGAAUUUUCCAGGCAAUAACUGAGAUUGCACUGUAUUUUCUUCUGAUCCCAAAUAGAGGUAUGUCGAGAGAUUACUGCAUCUCUUUUGUUCUCUUGUCGAGGCCAGCAUAUCCUUUUUCUGAAACUAAUUCUAGCAUAUCUCCUGGGAAACUGCAGCAGUGAACACACACUGUAAGAAAUCUCUUCUAAACGUUUCCGUUUGAUGCGUAUGACCAGUACUCGUUGACCAGCUCACGGAAGAGAGAUCCCUCAGUUUCCAUGAGCUUCAUGGGCUUGUCAUACUCCACUACUUUCCCUGGAAAUGUAUGCAGAUCAGUAGUAUGGAAUACUAUGCUGCGGAACCAAUAAGUUGCAGAAUCAGUAAGUUGGCAAUAAGAGAAACCAAUAGGUUGCGGAACCAAUAAGUUGUCAUACUCCGCUAGUUUCCCACAUUAGUAUGGAAUACUAUGUUGAAGAACCAAUAUGUUGGCAAUAAGAGGAACAUACAUACCAUCACUUAUUGCAAGUACCAUGUCACAGCCCAUAACUGUUGGUAUACGGUGUGCGACCGUAAUAACGGUGCAAUGUUUGAAUUCUGACUGGAUCGUUUUCUGAAGGACGGCAUCAGUUGCAUUAUCUAUAGAGGCCGUGGCUUCAUCAAGAACUAAGAUCCUGCACCUUUUCAAAAGUGUGCGGCCCAAGCAAAAGAGCUUCCUUUGGCUCAUGCUCCAGUUCGACCCGUCUUUCGCAACUGUAUGGAAAGAUAUAGAUCAGUACUAUGAAGAACACAAUUCCAGACUUCAUGCAAGCAAACUGAUCCGACUCAUACGCCUAGUAUUACAAGCAGUUUGACAGAUUUAUUGGCGCAUGUAUUCUAAUUGGUUAGGGGCAUAAAAUCAAAAGACUGAAGCAGAAUUGUAAUAUGCUAUCCUAUUUUGUUAGGGGCAUAAAAUGAAAUCCAGAAAUCAAAUCAUAGGUACAGUGAGGUUUCCUACCAAGUGAAUCCAAUCCCUGUUCCUUCUCCCGGACAGCCUCAAGAAGUUGGUAUUUGUCAAGAACCUGCAACCGAACAGCAUAUGAAUUAACCAAUUUAAUGGGUUCUUUUUCCAAAUGCAUGUAUGGCAUAUAACAGAGAAUGGACUUAUCGUUUGACAGGCCCACUAAUCAGUUUAUUCAUCCCAAUCAGACAAGGAGCUUACUGUUCUGAAAUUGUAGAUACAUAACAUGUCUUACCUCCCAUAUUAGUUGAUCUAAGAACUGCCCAAGGGGAUCUAGAUUAUAUCUUACUGUACCCUGAAAAAGUGUUGGAUCUUGUGGAAUGAUGCCCAAACGUGAACGCAGGUCAUGUAAGCCUAUUUUACUGAUGUUCACAGAGUCUAUAAUUAUAUCCCCUUCAGCAGGUUCAACAAGGUGAAACAAUGCACCAAUUAAAGUUGUCUUGCCACUUCCUGUUCGACCAACUAUACCAAUUUUAUCUCUACCUUGAAACUUGCAAGUGAUUCCAUGUAGUACAAGGGAGUAUCUUCCAUAUACCUAAUCUGUCAAUGAAAACCAAUCACACACAUCUGUCAGAAUAUUUGAAGGGUUUCGCCCUAGUCAGGCAUACAUGCAUAUUUUAUAUUUGCUUACCUUCAAAUCUUUAAGCUCCACACUGCCAACCUGGGGCCAAUCUGGUGCUGGUCGGUUUUCUUCAAUAACUUCUGCUGCUUCACUCGGAAUGUCCAUGUACUGGUUCACCCGUUCCACAGAUAUUAUUUUGUUUGCAAGGUCACAUUGCUUUUGAAUAGAGCUAACAAAGGAAUUAUUUAGGGAAAGGCCGUAGGACAAUGCCAUUCCAACAAAACCUGUGCCAAGUAUGGUAAAAAGUAAUUAGUUUUCUGAGGAUAAUGUUGAUUUCUUUAUAAUCCAGUGCAUAUUAAAUGUAUAUUUAUAAUGACAGUGGCACAUAGACAUUGAGCGUAUAACGUGUUACUAAAUGGAAAAUUGGGUAUCCUCCACUAGGGUUUCGAGCCAUUCGCCGUUAUGCAGAAGGAUUCUGUAACUCUAUUUGACAAAGAAAGUAGGCUUUCAUAACGAAGUAGAGCCUUCGUAACACCUAAUACCAGGAGCCUAUGGAAACAAACAAAAAAGCUUUUGCAGUGCAAAAUAACGAUUCAUUGCAAAUCAGAUGAAUGCAAUGAUCAAUCGUCAUACAGCUUGUAAGCUGCCAUAAAUAUGUGCAGCACAUGAAACAACUAUGUGAUGCUUGUACCUGGAAUAAGCUACAUACCAGGGCUAAAAGUUCCUGCAGGAAGAAGAGCCAUGACAAAAGCAGAAGAAGAAAGAACCGCAGCACUCAUUAUUUCCAGACGUUGAAUCAACCAUUCAGUUGCUGCAAAAUUAAAAAAGUACGGACCAGCAUUCUUGUCAACUAACUCCAGAUUUUUAGCAAAGAAACGACCUUCUUCCUCAAAGGCACGUAUUGUUAUAGCCCCUGAGAUCGAUUCACCUAAGUGAUUUACUAGAGCAGACUUGGUAGUGCCAUUGAUACGCAUCAAUUCCUUAGCCGAGGCUAAGUAGUACCUCUGAACAAACAUAUGAAAUGUCAGCCAACGGGAAUUGUGAAACGAAAAAAGUAGACGAACUUUACCUCCUGGGUGAAAAUAGCAGCAUAUCAUUUGGUGAAUGAAAUAACCAAAGAAAGGGGGUUUAGGCGUUUAGCCAUACAGAAAAAGGCCACAAGAUUACCUGUAACCGAAUUGCCAAAACUAUCAUUGGCAAUGGUACAAACAGAACUUGCCGUGUAACAACAGCCAAUACCCCCAGAUUGCUAUAUGCAUUUAAGCUGGAACUAAAGCCAAACAUCAAUGCAAAUGGAACAUCAAGGUCAAUGAUGCUUAAAUCUGAAGAGACCUGCAGGUUGGGGGGAGGGUUGAUCUAUUAAUAUAAAACCUUGUAACGUUAAACUGAAUUGUAGUUCAUAUAGUUGUGUUUGUUUGAGAAUUUUUACCUGGCUAAGAACCCUGCCUAGAGGAGUAGAAUCAAAGACGGACAUUGGUGCACGGAACAAUGAAUUAAGUAGCUGGGAAAAUAAGGAUCUUGAAGUCUGCAUCCCAAGAACAACGAAGAAUAUAGAUCUUGAUAGCACAAAGAACACCGUGCAAACUCCAAUAACAAUGUACACAGAAAUUAACUUUAGUGCACUAACAUCAGGAUUUUGGACAUUAGCGGCCAUCCAUGAAUUCUGUGAUAUUUGCCCAGCUAUGAAAAUUAUGUGAGACAUGACAGAAAGGGACGCAUACAGGAAGCCUUUUUUCUGGCGCAGGUAUAGGAUAUAAGGCUUAAGACCUGCGUCCCCUGAUUCUCUUUCCUCUGUUUUGAUCAGUUGAUCUACUGGUGAUGGCUUCACAGACUCUAUAUAUCUGUUUCCAUGAAUACCAUCUGUCUCCUUUAUUGGCAAAUCCUUUGCUCUGUGAUGGGCCAUAUUGUUAAGAUCUGAAACACCAGUAGUAUCUUUAUGGUCAUUUACAAGAUAUCUAAAUUCUUGGCAAUCUGACAAUAAAUCAUGAUAAGACGCAGACCGAAUAACCACCCCAUCUGACAUUAACUGCCAAAAAUUAUCACUAGUUUUAGACGAAAUCGACAAAUAUAAAUACGUGCAUGCUACGGGAAUCACAAACUUUAGAACAAGUAUUUCUCAAAUUCACAACUACUCAACUAGCAUGACUCCAAUAUCACCAUCUUCAUAUUUGAAAACAAUCAUCAAGUAUCAAAUUUCUCAUAGUAUUCAAUGCACUUUUUAUGAUAGUUUUUAUUAUAACUAUCUUGGAUGCCUAUCAUAUUAGGAAUAAUUUUAUAGCCAAAGCAAAUUACCAUGCAGUUCUAAAAGACUCUCAAAAUGAUAUAAGUCAAGCACGAGAGAUCAAUAAUUUCUAUAAAAUAAAACCACCACCGUGUUCUUAAAGAUAUAAGUGAAGCACUAGAGCAAAAUUAUCUAGCUCAAAAGAUAAAAGUGAAGCACAUAGAGUAUUCUAAUAAAUUCCGAUUUAUGUGUGUCUCUCCAAAAGGUGUGUACAGCAAGGAUGAUUGUGGUAAACUAAAAAGCAAAGACUCAAAUCAUACAAGACGCUCCAAGCAAAACACAUAUCAUGUGGUUAAUAAAAAUAUAGCCUCAAGUAAAGUUACCGAUAGACGAAGACGAAAGAGGGGAUGCCUUCUGGGGCAUCUCCAAGCUUAGGCUUUUGGUUUUCCUUGAAUUUUACCUUGGGUGCAUUGGGAAUCCCCAAGCUUAGGCUCUUGCCACUCAUUGUUUCAAAAUCCAUCAAAUCUUUAUCCAAAACUUGAAAACUUCACAACACAAAACUCAACAGAAAAUCUCAUGAGCUCCGUUAGUAUAGGAAAACAAACCACCACUUCAAGGUACUAUAAUGAACUCAUUCUUUAUUUAUAUUGGUGUUAAACCUACUGUAUUCCAACUUCUCUAUGGUUCAUACCCUCCGAUACUAGCCAUAGAUUCAUCAAAAUAAGCAAACAACACACGAAAAACAGAAUCUGUCAAAAACAGGACAGCGUGUAGUAAUCUGUAGGUUUCGAAUACUUCUGUAACCCCAAAUAUUCUGAAAUAAAUUGGUGGACGUGAGGAAUUUGUCUAUUAAUCAUCUGCAAAAAGAAUAAACGUAAUCGCACUGUCCAAUAAAAAUUGCAGCAAAUCUCGUGAGCGCUAAAGUUUCUGUUUUUUACAGCAAGAUCGCAAAAACUUCCCCCAGGUCUCCCCAAAGGUUCUACUUGGCACAAACACUAAUUAAAAGCAUAAAACCACAUAUAAACAGAAGCUAGAUGAAUUAUUUAUUACUAAACAGAAUCAAAAAGCAAGAAACAAAAAUAAAAUUGGGUUGCCUCCCAACAAGCGCUAUCGUUUAACGCCCUAGCUAGGCAUAAAAACAAGAAUAGAUCUAGGUAUUGUUAUCUUUGGUAUGCAAUCCAUAAGUGACUCUCAUAAUAGAUUCAUAAGGUAAUUUAAUUUUCUUUCUAGGAAAGUGUUCCAUGCCUUUCCUUAACGGAAAUUGGAAUCUAAUGUUUCCUUCUUUCAUAUCAAUAAUUGCACCAAUCGUUCUAAGAAAAGGUCUACCAAGAAUAAUAGGACAUGUAGGAUUGAAAUCCAUAAGUGACUCUCAUAUUUUUAGGCAAAGACGAAAACCAAGUUUUAGCAUGAUCUCUAAGCGAAAACAGAAAUAGCUUCAAUUUAACAAUAGCAUUAUCCAUAUAUUUCUUCUUUUGCAUAUCACAUAAAUCAACAAAGCUGUUUAGAUGGGUAGCGGCAUCUUCAUUAGGAAGACUAGAAAACGGAUAUUUCAUGACAAGAUUCAGCAAAACAGUAUUAAUUUCACAAGAUUCAACAUCGGUAAGAGGAGCAAUCGGAGUGCUAAUAAAAUUAUUAUUGUUGGUAUUGGAGAAGUCACACAAUUUAGUAUCAUCUUGAGCCAUCAUGACAAACAAUCAAUCCAACACACAAGCAAACAAGAGGCAAACAAAAAGAGACGAACUGAAAAGAGGCAGACUGAAAAGAGGGCGAAUAAAACGGCAAGGGUGAAGUGUGGGAGAGGAAAAUGAGAGACAAAUGGCAAAUAAUGUAAUGCGAGGGGUAAGAGUUUGUGAUGGGUACUUGGUAUGCCUUGACUUGUGCGUAGAUCUCCCCGACAACGGUGCCAGAAAUGGCUUGUUGCGAGAGAUUAAAUCUUGACUUGACUUGGUGCAACCUCCCCGGCAACGGCGCCAGAAAUCCUUCUUGCUACCUCUUGAGCUUGCGUUUUCCCUUGAAGAGGAAAGAGUGAUGCAGCACAGUAGCGUAAGUAUUUCCCUUAGUUUUUGAGAACCAAGGUAUCAAUCCAGUAGGAAAUUAUACGCAAGUCGCCUAGUACCUGCACAAACAAACAAGAACCUCGCAACCAACGCGAUAAAGUGGUUUUCAAUCCCUUCACGGCCACUUAUGAAAGUGAGAUCUGAUAAAAAUAAUAAGAUCAAUAUUUUUGGUAUUUUUGUUGUAUAGAUUGGAAAAUAAAGAUCGCAAAAUAGAAAUAGCAAGUUGAUAGGAAAAUAAUAUGAUGGAAGAUAGACCCGGGGGCCAUAGGUUUCACUAGUGGCUUCUCUCAAGAUAGCAAAUUCUAUGGUGGGUGAACAAAUUACUGCCGAGAAAUUGAUAGAAAAGCGCAUAGUUAUGAGAAUAUCUAGGCAUGAUCAUGUAUAUGGGCAUCACGUUCGCGACAAGUAGACCGAAACGAUUCUGCAUCUAGUACUAUUACUCCACACAUCAACCGCUAUCCAGCAUGCAUCUAGAGUAUUAAGUUCAUAAGAACAUAGUAACGCAUUAGGCAAGAUGACAUGAUGUAAAGGGAUAAACUCAAGCAAUAUAAUAUAAACCCCAUCUUUUUAUCCUCGAUGGCAACAAUACAAUACAUGCCUUGCUGCCCCAGCUGUCACUGGGAAAGGACACCACAAGAUUGAACCCAAAACUAAGCACUUCUUCCAUGGUAAGAAAGAUCAAUCUAAUUGGCCAAACCAAACUGAUAAUUCAAAGAGACUUGCAAAGAUAUUGUUCAUGGGUAAUCUAGAUCAUAAACCCACAAUUCAUCGGAUCUCGACAAACACACCGCAAAAAGAAUUACAUCGAAUAGAUCUCCAAGAGAAUCGAGGAGAACUUUGUAUUGAGAUCCAAAGAGAGAGAAGAAGCCAUCUAGCUAAUAACUAUGGACCCGAAGGUCUGUGGUAAACUAUUCACACAUCAUCGGAGAGGCUAUGGUGUUGAUGUAGAAGCCCUCCGUGAUCGAUUCCCCCUCCGGCAGAGCGCCGAAAAAGGCCCCAAGAUGAGAUCUCACGGGUACAGAAGGUUGUGGCGGUGAAAAUAGGGUUUCGUGGUGCUCCUGAAUAUUUUCGGGGUAUAUAGGUAUAUAGAGGAGGUAGAAGUACGUCGGUGGAGCUGCGAGGGGCCCACGAGGGUGGGGGGCACGCCUACCCCCCUGGGCGCGCCCUCCUGCCUCGUGGCCUCCUCGCUUCUUUCUUGAUUUCCACUCCAAGUAUCCUGGAUCACAUUUGUUCCAGAAAUAACUCUCCUGAACGUUUCAUUCCGUUUGGAUUCCGUUUGAUAUUCCUUUUCUGCUAAACAUUGAAAUAGGCAAAAAAACAGCAAUUUGCACUGGGCCUUUGGUUAAUAGGUUAUUCCAAAAAUAAUAUAAAAAGGUAUAUUAAAGCCCAUUAAACAUCUGAAACAGAUAAUAUAAUAGCAUGAAACAAUCAAAAAUUAUAGAUACGUUGGAGACGUAUCAAGGAGCAAGUCGGCAACACACGAACUCCACUCCAAGUCUCCAACGCCUCUAUACUGUUGUAAAAGGAAGAAUAUAGAUUAAUCACUAGCUAGAUUAAGAUUGAGGGCAAAGAAAAGAGAAAUUUAUCUAGAUGUACUUACCUUUCUUUCCUGCAAGCAUCCGGCGGGCCGAUCUGCGAGGCGGGCGAGAAAACGAACCGGCGUGGAGACUGAUGAGGAAUCGCCGCCUCGCCGCUGUGCGUGCGUACCUUCUUCGGGCCUCUUGGCAAUUGGGCUUUUGUUGGAAGUUGGAUGAUGGGCCUCUCAGCCUACAGACUUUUUCUUUUUUAUUUUCAUUCACGAAUUCAUCAGGGCCUAUAUCAUCUACUACCUGAAAUCUAAAACGUGUGCGCGCGCUAGUUGGAGAAAUCAAGCGGCCGCUCUGUCGCAUGCAUGUGUAUAUGUUUUGUCUGCUAGUGCAUGUGAUUGCUGGCAUUAAAUCCGGUCAGACUUGUCACAUGUGAAGAAAAAAUAGAUCCACGCAUAUUUAUUUCUGUUUUUAAAUUUUUAAAAAGUCAUAUCUUUCAAACCACGCACCGGAAUUCAGAUCCAUCUUCACCAUUUGAUUCCUCAUGACGAGAUCGUUCAAACUAGAUCCUGCAUGGGUAUAUUUCGACGAAAUGUUUUUAUGCCAACUUUGAUGCUAUAUGGUGCAACUUUAGUACUGUAUUGUGCAACUUUAGUGCAACAUCGUGCAACUUUUUCGGAAACCAAUUUUUAGAUCUGCAUGAUUCAACUUCCUAUGAGAUUGCUAUCUAGCAACUAUGACAACAUUGAUGUGCAACUAGUCUACCAUCUCGAUCAAUUACCUAGUAGUCGAUGUGCAACCCUCCUCUCUACAUGUGGAUGUGUAGUUCGUUUACUGUUGGCACACCCUACCCCCUACCCCUGCAAGCAAUAUGUGCAACUUAGUCUAUUAUUCAAUCCAACUGUCUAUUAGUCAUUGUGCAACUCCUUCCCCUCCCUAUUUGUGGACAUGUACUUUCAGUUGGCGGGGGCAACAAACAGAGUUGCACAUAGUCUGCUAGGUAGUUGGCCAGGGAAACAUACGAAGUUGCACAUCUCAUAGGCAGAGAUAGUUGAAUGGUGAAAAAUUGACAUUCAUGAGAGUAAUGAAAAGUUGCAUAUAAACAGAGUGCUAAAGUUACAAAUCUCACUAACAGGGGUGGUUUGGGCCGGGUGAUAGUUGGGAAACUACACAUCCAUGGGGGUAUGAGAGAAAGUUGCACAUCACUGUUAGAUAGUUGGCCGUUGCAGUAUUCGAAGUUGCACAUCCACUGUUAGUAUGUUGGCCGAUGCAGCAAACAGUGAAGCACAUCCACGGGCGGGGGAAAGUUGCACAUCAACUACUAUGAAGUUGGCCUGGGCAACAUACGAAGUUGCACAUCUCACUAGAAGGAGGAAGUUUGGGGCUGGAGGUACCAUAAAGGAAAAUUGCAUGUCUACAGUGUAGGAGAAAAGUUGCACAUCUCUGAGGUAGUUGCACAUCGACGACUAGCCAGUUACACAAAACAUGGACAAAAUUACACAAAAAAAAUUUCGUCGAAACAUACCCAUGCUGGAUCUGGUUUCGAAGAGCACGCCGCGAGGGUUCCAACAAUGAAAACGGAUCUUAAUUUCGAUGCACUGCUCGAAAGUUAUGGUUUUUUAAAAUUUAAAAACACAAAUUAAAUGGGUUCACAUAUAUUCACGUGAAUACUUUGCAAUUAUUUAUCUUGUUCACACAUGUCCAUACCUCUUCACUUUGCCUAAUAUGGAUUAGGGAGAGAAAAUAUUCCAUUUUUUGGCCGGCCAUCGCGGAGCGCUAGCGGGCCAACGGCCACCUGCUAGACCAGUCCCAUCUACUAUACACACAUUGCAGCACGGGUCAGGGCCCCUAGUUUGGCUGGGCCCGGGCCGUCGCCCCUGCUGCCCUGGCCCAGGGCCGGCCCUGACCGGAAGUUUCAACUUCCUUUCUGGAAAAAGGUGGCCCGCAAAUCGACACGCCUGACCUUAUCAUGCCGUUGUCACACUGGGCUUAGCGACCUCGCCUUGAUUGCUAAAUUUGAUCUGCUGGGGCCCGAUGGGUUGUUUUCAGGGCAGUCGUGUCGAACUUGGGCAGUUGUUAAUUUGUGAGCCAAAUCCUAACUGAUACGAGCAGUUUCUAAUGUGUGAAGCACAAUUCAACUGCUGAUGAGGCAGAGUAUUUUUGUGGGUUCUGGCAUGUCUUUUUUCUUUUCUUUCACAAGCAUGCCAAUUUGUACAUUCUUUUCUUUAUGAGAAGACAAUGCUCAUGCCAGUUGCGGGAAAAAACUUUCAAUACUCCCAAAUUGCUAUAUGCAUUUAUGCUGCCACUGAAGGUAAGCAUGAAGGCAAAUGGAACAUCAACACCAAUAAUACUCAAAUCAGAAGAGACCUCAGGGGACGGGGGUGAUUGUGGUGGAUAAUCCAUCAGUAGAAAAUGAGUGUGAAACAUAAAUGUAUUAUCAUAAUUGUCAUGUGUUUAUUUAUUUUUACCUGGCUAAGAACCAUGUCUAGAGGAGUAGAAUCAAAGGACAUGGGUGGUCGGGACAAUGGAAUGAGCAACUGCAAAAAUAAGGAUCUUCAAGUCUGGACGCCAAUACCGAUGAAUAAUGAUCACGAUAGUACAAAGAAAAUUGUGCAAAAUCUGAUAAUAAUAUAAACAUAAGUUAAUUUCAGUGUACUACACGAGCAUUUUAGACAUUGGCAGCCAUCUAUGAAUUCAGUGAUAUUUUCCCAGCAAAGAAAUUUCGGUUGUGUUGAUUUCUUUUCACUUUCAGUUCAACAAAGUUUUCAUCAAGAAAGAAAGGUUUGUGAGCUUUACAUCCAUGGUUGUCCCUUACUCUAGUUCAUGUCAAUGAUAUAUAUGAUCCGAUAUUUCUUAUUAACUGCAAUUUUUGAACAAGUUUGUGAAGAAACCAAACUUUUGCGAAGAAGAAUCAUACUAUUUUUAUUUAACAUUUUUUUAUGAUGUAUAAAUUCGAUACGGAGUGUUUCUCCUACAUUUUUGUAUGCGGCCUACAUGAAUACACAAAGAAGGUUUACAAUAACAAGAUACGAAUUUAGGCGGUAUCCGCAACAAAGUCUUGUAUCACAGUCCUUACAGCAACUGGAAUUCGAACUGAGUGGGUACUUCCGUCUGACCAUGUCAAGCUCCCGAAAGUGUAUCCUCCUUGCACUCUCUGCCUUGUGGUGAAUGUCACCAUAAAUGUUGCGCUUCUACUGCUUCCUUUGGUGAAAGUAAUCACAGAUGGUUCUACCGACACAUCUAUACCUGCUGGAGCUUCAACCACUAAAUGAUAUGUUGCUUCCGCUGGCCCAACGUUAGUCACAGCGCGCCGAAGCAUGACAUGGUCCUUGAGGUCCGGCACGACAAUUGACGGGAGGUUGAGAUUGAGGUAGUAGGACUCACAACCAUCUAAAUAUCCAAGAGUGCAGUUCAAAAACUUGUUGUACUCUCUUGCAUCCACGUCAUAAACCAAGCCAGGGUCAACAGCUCUAUCUGGGUCUAUAUGUCCACCACCAAAGUCGAAGGGGUCAGCUAGUUUCCUUGGGACCGCUUCUGCUUGGAUUGGCAUGCCAAAACGAUCAGUC